CGGUGCCACAGCCGGAUCCUGCGACGCGCCAGGUGUCCCAGGACGCAGCACCCCUGGCUGGCUCCCAUGCGCGGUUCCACGAUUGGCCACCAACCACACCAGCGUCCGCGGGGCCCUGGAGUAUAGUGGAGUUCAGGGAUGCCUUGUGACUAACGGCAGGAUUCUGGGGGCUAUAGGAGUCCUGCCGUCUCCACGGUGACUCCUGGUUAAAAAGGGGUGGCAGGGAACCACUUGGGGAAGACUCAUAGCCUAGAGACACCCUCCGAACUCCCGGGGCCAGCGGAGGAAUGACCGAGGAGUGUGUCAUCUCCCCAGUGCGGAUGACGGGCCUUACCUCUGCAGAGGGCCUGUGGGUGGGGUUUGCACCACUUCGGGCUGAGGCCUGGGAUGGUUGUCUUUGCACAUACUGUAAGGGCCUAACCCUGGCCACAGAACUUUCUAGCAGUUCUGGAACAAUCCUACCAUGCACGGAUCUGUAGGAAUUUUUAGGGCCCAUGGCGUCCCAGCGGCUGCUCGGAGCCAUGUUUCCAGACACUGUUUUCUGGAGUGGAUUGGGGACAGCUUCUGUCUGGAAGGGACUGGACAAUGCCCUUCUAGCCGAGGACGGAUAUAGUGGCACAUGUGAGACCAUGCUGGUGGUCCCUGACCUCUGAAGAAGACUAGGAUUCCCCAUCCUGCCCACAGACACUGAAAGCAAUCUGAAAGCCUCAGUACUGCCACGGGCCAGCUGGGGUGAUCCUGAGACUACAUUAGAAGCCACUGUACCCUGAGAGUGAUUUGGGGGUAUGACGUGAGUGACAGACCCCUGUUGAUAAACUGAGGGGGACUUAGUGGCUAAACCCGGGGCCUGGAAAGGGACAGGGACCAUGCCACUAGCAUGGCUGGGAGCCACCUCCCUUGGGGAAGAGACCCUUUCUCAGACAGGGACCUAUGAUCAUGGCCCCCAUCAGCUCCCAGAGGACUGGAGUACAUCCACUGGGUUGCACCAGUGACCCUGGCUUUGCUGAAUAGGUCAUUGGAUCCACUUGAUCCUGACACUUGGAACACAGCCUCAUCCAAUUCUCCUAGCUUGGCUUGGUCCCCUGUGACCCCAGAUGGCAUUAUCCUAGCAUCUUGGCUCAAUUGUAAGGCUCUUGAUAGAACCGUGGGCACUCGGUGUAGACUCCUCACUGUGCCACUAGCUGCCGGGGCUGAGGAGUGACCUGGAGCCAGACUGGUGGUGUGGGGCAUCUGCAAGGGGGCUAAAGACCUCUCCCCAGCCAGGCUUUGAGGUAAGGAGGGGCAGUGAUGUCAAUCACCAUGGGCCCCUUGGAGCAGCUCUGAGCCACACUAGAGGCCCCCAUCAUUGGCACAGAACCAGGGGGACAACUGGGCUCACCCGACUCACUACUGAACCUGGGAGCAAGUUUGGAGCAGCUAAGCUAGCGGAGGGUCUUACAGAUAGACUUGGCUUCUUUCUGUCUGCCAUCAGACUGGGAGCCACCCAACUGGACACAGAGCCUGCGGGAAGGCUGUGACCCAUGCCUCGGAUGGUGGAGCCCGGGGGAAGGCUGGAGGUUAUGCCACCAGGCAGAGUGCCUGGGACUGCGCCCGUGCUCAUUCUACUGGCUACAAAACCUCCUGCCGCACCACGACCAGCCCUGCUCUUCAGAGAGUCCUGCGGAAUCACAUCUCUCUGCUGGUAACUGGGUGGGACCAUGGAUGCCUCAGAAGGGUGCCAGCAGUCUAUGUUUUUUGGAAUAACCACACUGAUCUGGGAGCUGCUGGGGUCCAUGCUGUUCAGGGAAAGAUUAGACUGAGUCACGGCCAGUCUGUUGGGCACUGAAGCCAGAGAGGGGCUGGGGGCCAUCCCUGUGGUUCCAGAGGGAUGUGUCAAAGGGCCACCUGCCUCUAAGACCUGGGAUGCAAGGGAAGCCAUGCCAUUGGCCACCUGACAUUGACUUUGGCCCAUGCCAGUUGCUAUGGUUCUCCAGGGGAGAUUCCCAGCUAGGCCAGGAGAUGUGGUCCCCUGAGACCCACUGGGGAACAUAGCAUCAGCCAAAGGCUCCUGGGGAUGGCUUACAGCCACACCCCUGAACAGAGGCGUGAUUCACUGGCCUACACAACAGGCCUCCUCAUCAGCAUGAGAGAGAUUUGGUGUUGAAACACUAACCACAGAGGGUGGACACACAUGCCUCCCACCAACCCUGGGUGGAUGAUGGAACCCAAGGGACACGUCGUUGAACUUGAAGUCCGGGGGGCUGGAUACCAUCUCACUAACCAUCAGAGGUUCUUCACAUAGGUUCACCCCAGUACCCAGGGAUGGCUGGUUCAGACCCUGGUCCAUAUUUCCAGCCACAGAGGGAUAUGGUCCACCCAGGCUAACUGAAACAAACGCUGAUGGGUGACACAGACACGGGGCUACUGAGUCCACCCUUGAACACUGCAGAUUUGAAUCCAGCCUAGAGCCCCAGCAUGGCUCAUUGAGGCCAUGACAUGUACCACUGACCACAGAUGGCUGGGAUCGGCUUGGGGCCAACCUAGUGUCCGGGGGUGACUGAGCCAGGCUUAGGGCUUCCGUGUGGGCCACAGAUGGUGGGAAUAGGCUGGGGGCUAUAGCUGGCUCGGCUAGGCUGGAGGCUAGGGUACAGGAUGAAUUUGUCUUGCCUGGACUGGAGGCCACAGAUGGUUGGGCUUGCCUUGGGGAUACUGCAGUGGUCUGAGAUGGGUGGGCUAGGCUGGAGCCCGCCCCACUGGCCACAUAUGGGUGAGCUAGACUUGGAGACAACCCAUGGGGUCCUGAUGGGUGGGCUAGGCUUGGGGACACACCAAUGGCUUGAGAUGGCUGGGCUGGGCUUAAGGACACCACACAGGUCAUAGGUUGGUGGGCUAGCCUUGAAGACAUCCCUGUGGCUUGAGACGGCUGGGCUAGGCUUGGGGAUACACCACAGGCCAUAGGUUGAUGAGCUGGUCUUAAGGGCACUGCAGUGGUGGCCUGAGAUAGCUGGGCAAGGCUUGGGGACACCUCACUGGGCAUAGAUCGAUGAACCUGGCUUGGGGACACCAUACAGGUCAUAGAUGCAUGAGCUCUGCUAGGGGACAUCCUGCUGGUUAUAGAUGCGUGAGCUUGGUUUGGGGACACCCUGGAGGCCACUGGUGGGUAAUCUUGUCUAGGGGACAUCCCACUGGCUUGAGAUGGCUGGGCUAGGCUUGAGGAAACCCUACUGGCCACAGAUUGGUGGGCUACACUUGGGGACACCCCAGUGGCCUGAGAUGGCCAGGUCAAGCUUGGGGAUUCCCCAGUGGACUGAGGAGGCUGGGCCAGGCUUGGAGACUCCCGAAUGGCCAUAGAUGGGUGAGCUAGGGUUGGGGACACUCCAAUGGUGUGAAAUGGCAUGGCUAGGCUUGGGGACACUCCAAUGGUCUGAGAUGGCAUGGCUAGGCUUGGGGACACUCCAAUAGUCUGAGAUGACAUGGCUAGGCUUGGGGACACUCUGAUGGUCAGAGAUGGCUGGGUCAGGCUUGGAGACUCCCCAGUGGGCUGAGAUGGGUAGGCUGGGCUUGGGGACUCCCCAGUGACCACAGAUGGGUAGGCUGAGCUUGGGGACACCUCAGUGGGCUGAGAUGGCUGGGCAAGGCUAGGGGACUCCCCAGUGGCCACACAUGGAUAGUCUGGGCUUGGGGACACCUCAGUGGGCUGAAAUGGGUAGCCUGGGCUUGGGGACACCUCAGUGGCCAUAGAUAGGUAGCCUGAGCUUGGGGACAUCUCAGUAGGCUGAGAUGAGUAGUCUGGGCUUGGGGACACUUCAGUGGCCACAGAUAGGUAGCCUGAGCUUGGGGACACCUCAGUGAGCUGAGAUGGGUAGCCUGGGCUUGGGGACACCUCAGUGGCCACAGAUAGGUAGCCUGAGCUUGGGGAUAUCUCAGUGGGCUGAUAUGGGUAGGUUGGGCUUGGGGACACCUCAGUGGCCACAGAUGGGUAUUCUGGGCUUGGGGACAUCUCAAUGGCCAUAGAUAGGUAGCCUGGGUUUGGGGACACCUCAGUGGGCUGAUAUGAGUAGGCUGCACUUGGGGACACCUCAGUGAGCUGAUAUGGGUGGGCUGGGCUUGGAGAUACCUCAGUGGGCUGAAAUGGCUGUGCCAGGGUUGGGUACUCCCUAAUGGCCUGAGAUGGGUAGGUUGGACUUGGGGACACCUCAGUGGGCUGAAAUGGCUGAGCCAGCAUUGGGUACUCCCCAACAGACUGAGAUGGGUAGUCUGGACUUGGAGACACCCCAAAGGCUUGAGAUGGCUGGGCCAGAUUUGAGGUUACCCCAGGGGCUUGAGAUGGCUGGGCUAGGCUUGGGGCCAGCCUACUGAACCCUGAUGCCUGGCCUAGGUUUGGGGCUACCCUACUGGCCAGUGUAGCCUGGGACACAAUUGGGGCCAAGCUCUUGGCCACAGAUGGUGGCUUAUAUGCAGUGGAGACCACAGUACCUAAAGACAGAGUCCUCCUCAGCUCUGUCUUGACGGUUGCCUGGGACACCUCAAUCAGAUUCACAGAGCUCUUGCCUAAGGAGAACUUGUGGAUCUCAGCCUCUGAGCCCCAGUGAACACGCAAGGUCAAGCAGUUAGACACUGAGCUGUGUUGGAAACUGGGCACUUUCUCCGAGGCUGGAGUGGGCCGGUAGGGGAAGUGUAGGGUCAUGUACCUAUAGCCGGUUUCAGUCUCUUGCGUAUCCUUAAACCUCUGGAGUGUCCCCAUGGACUCCGGAGGAAAAACAGACUUCACCGCAAGGUCCCCUUCUAAACUGCUUUCCCGUGACUCAUCUAUCUUGUUGACGGCAGGCAGGCUGGCCACAGACAUAGUGGAAAGGCUGAGGGAACUAGAACUUUGCAGAGAGCUUUCGGAAUUGUUCUCCUGACUGUAGGUCACAAAGCCCUGGGAGAAGCUCCUGGCCAGGUCACCGUCUCGAUCCUGUGGCAAACCACCUACUGGCUCACCGAGGAUGGAUGGCUGGUGGUCUGUUGCUAGCUUCUGGGGGCAGAGCAGGGCAGACACAGAACCCUGUGUUCGAUUCCUCCCCUGUCCACAGACAGAUGUCUUGGGACGAACUUGAGCCAAUGCACUGCCGGGGGAAGCUUGAAACAGACCAUGAGUCUUGGAUGCCUGAGUUUUGGUCACCAUGGUGACCUGCAAGGGACUUGGGGCCCCCUUGUCUAUCACCUCCCUAGUACCCGGGGGGGCCUGUUUGCGAUUUGGGGGCUGAUACCUCCUCCCCAGGCUCUCCCUGGAAGCCCUGGAUGCCUGCUGCUGGCCUCUGGCCACUAAGGGUUGGUAGAGACCACGAUGUACCCCUGAGGACUGACACCAAGGCAGGCCCCCACAGGUGAGGUAAGGCUGGUGAACAUGGGCAGCCCUCCCACCACCCACGCUGCAAGGAAGCCUACCCGAGGCCACCCUGCCCUCCCUGGUCGAUAGAUAAGAGGCCACCCUGCUGACCACAUGUGGCCUGUGGCAGCUCGGGGCUGUGCCAUAGAUCACAGAGGGCUGGUUCAUGCUUGGGCCCACACAGUUGGCAAUGAGAGGCUGCCACAGACUCGGGGGUGGCUGCAUGUGGGACAGCUUGAGCAAACUGGGGCCCUCCCCACUCCCCUCGGGGUUAAAAUCUGAUGCCAAUGUGCCAGGCUCCAGGGUCGGGCAUGCUUCUUCCUUUUGGAACUUGGGGCUCAAAUCCAGGUUUGAGGAGAAGUCCCUGCUGGACUCCAUCAUCUCCCGGGACAGCAUGGGAUACAGGCCAGUGAUCAGGGGACCCUGGUGAAUGCUGGUGAUGACGCUACCCAUCACCGAGGCUCCCACAGUGACCACAGAUAAGCAGGGUGACCCCCACAAGAUGGCCCCAUCAAUCCCCCAUCUCCUCCAAGGGCCCGGCAGGUUGGCCCAUGGUGAAACAACCCCAGAUCCCAACCUGGGAAUCCCUGACCUUGCUGGUCUGUGGUCUCACGGGGCCCAGGGAGGGCCCCCAUGCGGCCGAUGGACUCCUCCUGCAGGCCACCUUCACCAGGGCCGGCGUCUUAG
rnacentral:tRNA from 10 species